AUGGAUACUACAGCAAGCAACGCCGUGCUGGUUAUAGAAUUCCAGAACAUAGUGAAUGAUGUUGCUGCCCCGCGUUCUCCUUCGCCGGAUCCAGAAGCUGAACUUAUGAAGCGCCAUUUCUCUAGAGAAGAAGCCGUAGGGAAAUUCCCCCUAACCGCGAUCCCAUCCAUUCUCCUCCAUGUGCUCUCAUCCUCUGACCUGGAUCCUAAAGAUCUUGCUGCUUUGGAGGCAAAUAUUGUGCUCCCACCAGACUUGGAAUUAUCACUUCCAGAACUUGCAGCACUCGAUAUGUGCCAGCAAAGGCCCAUGUUUAACCUAAUGAAACCAGAAGAGAAGGAGUGGCUGAAGCAACGGUGUGGGGGCUCUUGGAAGCUUGUUCUUGGAUACAUUUUGGUCGGCGAGAAGAAUUGCCGCCGCGGGAAAUCUCAGGUCACUGCUGGACCAGGCCACAGCAUUGUUGUCACCGCAAGUGGGGCCGUAUACUCAUUUGGCAUGAAUUCCUCGGGCCAGCUUGGCCUUAGGGACACAGAAGACAAGUUCAAGCCAUGCCUUAUCAGGUCUCUGCAAGGCAUCAGGAUCACGCAUGCCGCGGUUGGAUCGAGUCGAACAAUGCUUGUGAGCGACACGGGAAGUGUCUAUGUAUUUGGAAUCGACACCUUUGGGGUGGAGUCACUCAAGGGCAUCUUUGUAGUGCAAGCAACCAUAGGAGGCCUCUUCUCGGCGGUUCUGUCGAGAGAGGGUCGGGUUUAUACUUUCUCCUGGGGCCACGAGGAGAGGCUAGGCCAUAAUACAGAUUACGCCGAUGUCGAGCCUCGUCUUCUCUCUGGGCCCCUUGAGAAUGUACUUGUUGCGCAGAUUGCUGCCGGCAAUUGUUACCUCCUUAUGUUAGCCUACCAGCCCACCGGAAUGUCGGUGUACUCUGUGGGCUGUGGUCAAGGAGGCAAGCUUGGGCAUGGGAACAAGAACAGCGAGGGCGUCCCUCAGCUGAUCGCACACUUUGCGGGAAUCGACGCAAGGCCAGUGUCAAUCUCAGCCGGUGCUUGGCACGCCGCGGUCCUGAGCAGCGACGGGCGCGGUGUCCUGGCUCCCAAGUUGGUCGCCUCACUCACCGGGCUAAACAAAAGGUUUGUGCAGAUCAGCCCGACGAAUGCCUAUGAUUGGCACAACAGAAGAACGGGGGUGUCUCAUACGGUUGCCCUCACCGAAUCCGGAAAGGUGUACGCAUUUGGAGGAGGUGGCUCGGGUCAGCUUGGCCUCAAGCUUGCCGAGGGCAAAGAAGCCAUGCCCCCUCUCCAGGUUGACAUCGAUCUCGCCUAG
rnacentral:rRNA from 1 species